UAUUCUGUACGUGAUUUUACGCAGUGCAAUUAUUAUUUAUACAUACCUACUUGUGUAAAGUAAUCGGUUAAAGAAUAUCGAUGUAUUUAUUUUUUUUUUUUUAAUUAGAUGACUAGACUUUAAUAGAUUUAAUUUACUAAACAUUUUCUAGGGUUAUUUUGAAAAGUAAUCCGUGUUAAAUUAUAAGCAAAAAAAUGUUUUCUGCUUUAUAUUUAGUAGCAACAGAAAUAUUUAUGGAUACCAUAAGUUACUCGUACAGCCACUGCAGGUUUUAUUGUUGUUGAACAAAAAUAGUCAAUAACUAGACAAAUUAACAAUUAUACUUCACUCUAUCUAGGAGUUCGUCAAACUUAAUAAAGUUUAACCAACUCAAGAAAAUGGUUUUCGUUAACUAUUUUCCAUCUCCAUAUGUACACGUAAAACACUUAUGAACAGGGCUUAUAACUUCUAGCAUUUGCAUAUUUAUUUGAGAGGUCCUAGAGACAAUUAAGGAGAGUCAAAACUCAAUAAAUGAAAUACAUGAUUGUACGAGGACCUACGCAACUAAAAUAAUUAUUCGAGACAAAUUAUCUAAUUGGAUAUUGUUUGAGGCGAGCCGUUUUAUAGUUAAAAUUUAUAUGUUCAUAAAAAAAAAAAAAAAAAAAAUAUGAAAAAACUUAAUAA
rnacentral:lncRNA from 1 species